rnacentral:rRNA from 1 species
AUUUUCUGCCACCGAAUACAUUAGCAUGGGAUAAUGGAAUAGGACCCUGUCCUCCUAUUUUCAGUUGGUUUUGGCAGCGCGAGGACUAGGGUAAUGAUUAAUAGGGAUAGUUGGGGGCAUUAAUAUUUAAUUGUCAGAGGUGAAAUUCUUGGAUUUAUGAAAGAUUAACUUCUGCGAAAGCAUCUGCCAAGGAUGUUUUCAUUAAUCAAGAACGAAAGUUAGGGGAUCGAAGACGAUCAGAUACCGUCGUAGUCUUAACCAUAAACGAUGCCGACCAGCGAUUAGGAGACGUUGAAUACAAAACACCACCAUCGGCGCGGUCGUCCUUGGCGUUCGUGUUCACGCACGGGCGCGAGGGCGGCUUAGCCCGAUGGCACCGGUGAAUGACUACCCUAGC